AUAACCCCGGGAGACUGGGGAUAAUACCCCAUAAUCUAUGGAAGCUGGAAUGCUCUAUAGUUGAAAGAUUUAUCGCCUUAGGAUGGGUCUGCGGCCGAUUAGGUAGUUGUUGGGGUAACGGCCCAACAAGCCUUUGAUCGGUACGGGUUGUGGGAGCAAGAGCCCGGAGAUGGAUUCUGAGACACGAAUCCAGGCCCUACGGGGCGCAGCAGGCGCGAAAACUUUACAAUGCGGGAAACCGUGAUAAGGGAACUCCGAGUGCCCGUAAACGCGGGCUGUCCAUCUGCUUAAAAAACAGGUGAAGAAAGGGCCGGGCAAGACCGGUGCCAGCCGCCGCGGUAAUACCGGCGGCUCGAGUGGUGGCCACUAUUACUGGGCUUAAAGCGUCCGUAGCUUGGUUGUUAAGUCUCUUGGGAAAUCUGUCGGCUUAACCGACAGGCGUUUAAGGGAUACUGGCAAUCUAGGGACCGGGAGAGGUGAGAGGUACUUCAGGGGUAGGAGUGAAAUCCUGUAAUCCUUGGGGGACCACCUGUGGCGUAGACGUCUCACCAGAACGGCUCCGACAGUGAGGGACGAAAGCUGGGGGAGCAAACCGGAUUAGAUACCCGGGUAGUCCCAGCCGUAAACGAUGCGCGUUAGGUGUAUCGGUGACCACGAGUCACCGAGGUGCCGAAGGGAAACCGUGAAACGUGCCGCCUGGGAAGUACGGUCGCAAGGCUGAAACUUAA
rnacentral:rRNA from 1 species